CCUACGGGCGGCAGCAGUGAGGAAUAUUGGUCAAUGGACGAGAGUCUGAACCAGCCAAGUAGCGUGAAGGAUGACUGCCCUAUGGGUUGUAAACUUCUUUUAUAUGGGAAUAAAACGUUCCACGUGUGGGAUUUUGUAUGUACCAUAUGAAUAAGGAUCGGCUAACUCCGUGCCAGCAGCCGCGGUAAUACGGAGGAUCCGAGCGUUAUCCGGAUUUAUUGGGGUUAAAGGGUGCGUAGGUGGAUUGUUAAGUCAGUUGUGAAAGUUUGCGGCUCAACCGGAAAAUUGCAGUUGAAACUGGCAGUCUUGAGUACAGUAGAGGUGGGCGGAAUUCGUGGUGUAGCGGUGAAAUGCUUAGAUAUCACGAAGAACUCCGAUUGCGAAGGCAGUUCACUGGACUGCAACUGACACUGAGGCUCGAAAGUGUGGGUAUCAAACAGGAUUAGAUACCCUUGUAGUC
rnacentral:rRNA from 1 species